rnacentral:rRNA from 1 species
GACGAACGCUGGCGGCGUGCUUAACACAUGCAAGUCGAACGGAAAGGCCCUGCUUUUGUGGGGUGCUCGAGUGGCGAACGGGUGAGUAACACGUGAGUAACCUGCCCUUGACUUUGGGAUAACUUCAGGAAACUGGGGCUAAUACCGGAUAGGAGCUCCUGCUGCAUGGUGGGGGUUGGAAAGUUUCGGCGGUUGGGGAUGGACUCGCGGCUUAUCAGCUUGUUGGUGGGGUAGUGGCUUACCAAGGCUUUGACGGGUAGCCGGCCUGAGAGGGUGACCGGCCACAUUGGGACUGAGAUACGGCCCAGACUCCUACGGGAGGCAGCAGUGGGGAAUAUUGCACAAUGGGCGGAAGCCUGAUGCAGCAACGCCGCGUGCGGGAUGACGGCCUUCGGGUUGUAAACCGCUUUCGCCUGUGACGAAGCGUGAGUGACGGUAAUGGGUAAAGAAGCACCGGCUAACUACGUGCCAGCAGCCGCGGUGAUACGUAGGGUGCGAGCGUUGUCCGGAUUUAUUGGGCGUAAAGGGCUCGUAGGUGGUUGAUCGCGUCGGAGGUGUAAUCUUGGGGCUUAACCCUGAGCGUGCUUUCGAUACGGGUUGACUUGAGGAAUGUAGGGGAGAAUGGAAUUCCUGGUGGAGCGGUGGAAUGCGCAGAUAUCAGGAGGAACACCAGUGGCGAAGGCGGUUCUCUGGGCCUUUCCUGACGCUGAGGAGCGAAAGCGUGGGGAGCGAACAGGCUUAGAUACCCUGGUAGUCCACGCUGUAAACGGUGGGUACUAGGUGUGGGGUCCAUUCCACGGGUUCCGUGCCGUAGCUAACGCUUUAAGUACCCCGCCUGGGGAGUACGGCCGCAAGGGUAAAACUCAAAGGAAUUGACGGGGCCCCGCACAAGCGGCGGAGCAUGCGGAUUAAUUCGAUGCAACGCGUAGAACCUUACCUGGGUUUGACAUGGAUCGGGAGUGCUCAGAGAUGGGUGUGCCUCUUUUGGGGUCGGUUCACAGGUGGUGCAUGGCUGUCGUCAGCUCGUGUCGUGAGAUGUUGGGUUAAGUCCCGCAACGAGCGCAACCCUUGUUCACUGUUGCCAGCACGUUAUGGUGGGGACUCAGUAGAGACCGCCGGGGUCAACUCGGAGGAAGGUGGGGAUGACGUCAAGUCAUCAUGCCCCUUAUGUCCAGGGCUUCACGCAUGCUACAAUGGCUGGUACAGAGGGUGGCGAGCCUGUGAGGGUGAGCGAAUCUCGGAAAGCCGGUCUCAGUUCGGAUUGGGGUCUGCAACUCGACCUCAUGAAGUCGGAGUCGCUAGUAAUCGCAGAUCAGCAACGCUGCGGUGAAUACGUUCCCGGGGCU